rnacentral:rRNA from 1 species
UACGUAGGGGGCUAGCGUUGUCCGGAAUCAUUGGGCGUAAAGGGUACGUAGGCGGAUAAGCAAGUUAGAAGUGAAAUCCUAUAGCUCAACUAUAGUAAGCUUUUAAAACUGCUCAUCUUGAGGUAUGGAAGGGAAAGUGGAAUUCCUAGUGUAGCGGUGAAAUGCGCAGAUAUUAGGAGGAAUACCGGUGGCGAAGGCGACUUACUGGGCUCAUUCUGACGCUGAGGAACGAAAGCGUGGGUAGCAAACAGG